rnacentral:rRNA from 1 species
GACGAACGCUGGCGGCGUGCUUAACACAUGCAAGUCGAACGGAAAGGCCCUGCUUUUGUGGGGUGCUCGAGUGGCGAACGGGUGAGUAACACGUGAGUAACCUGCCCUUGACUUUGGGAUAACUUCAGGAAACUGGGGCUAAUACCGGAUAGGAGCUCCUGCUGCAUGGUGGGGGUUGGAAAGUUUCGGCGGUUGGGGAUGGACUCGCGGCUUAUCAGCUUGUUUGUGGGGUAGUGGCUUACCCAGGCUUUGACGGGUAGCCGGCCUGAGAGGGUGACCGGCCACAUUGGGACUGAGAUACGGCCCAGACUCCUACGGGAGGCAGCAGUGGGGAAUAUUGCACAAUGGGCGGAAGCCUGAUGCAGCAACGCCGCGUGCGGGAUGACGGCCUUCGGGUUGUAAACCGCUUUCGCCUGUGACGAAGCGUGAGUGACGGUAAUGGGUAAAGAAGCACCGGCUAACUACGUG